AACAAGAUAAACAAGUUAACUUUAGAAAUGCAUAAAACUAAAAACGUAUUCCCUUACAUGUUAAUUAGUAGUUUUUGCUUUUCUAGGAGAAUAAUUUUGUAAUUUUAGAAGGCUCACAAAUGACCUUUCUGGAUCAAAUUUAUGUAUCAGUAAAUGUAUAUAAUCUUUGGAGCUUAGAAUCAUAGAAUCACAGAAUUAUCAAGGUUGGAAAAAGACCUCUAUGAUCAUCCAAUCUAACCAGGAUACCUGUCCUGUGGAUACCUGUCACCACUAUUUCCCACUAAACCAUGUCCCCACUAUCCCAGCCACUACCAGUUCCAGAAAGCCUACAAGACAAGAAAAAAGGACACCAAAUUGUGUUUAACUAAUGCGCAUCUAAAGCUUAUCAAAACGUAAUCUUUUUUUUUAAGUGUAAUUUUUUUUAAAAUUUGUUUUGAGGUCUUUAAGAGGAAAAAAAAAAGGUUAUAAAAGUUUUGGAUUCCUUAAGCAUGAAUUCUGUGAAGCAGGUUGCAAGAAACACUAUUCUUGUUGUUCUAGACAGCUGUAGGUAGGACUCUUCAUAAAGAUGCACAUGUCACACAUCCUCAUGACUUUCUGUAUGUGGUUUUUGUUUGUGAUGGACUGUUGAAAUUACAUAGGCAGUACCCACUUAAAAUAAAAUUCCUAUAUGGUAGCCAUGUUCCUUUCUGCAUGCUAUAUUAACAAGACCAUGCAUUUGUAUAGGUAUCAGUAGCUGAAGCUCUAUUAUGGGGUAUGGAUGAUACUGCUGGCAUGCUUAAUUAGAAGUGUUGAAAGAAAUACUAAAAAAAAAGAUGGAUGAUACUUAGCACAAAAUGCAACAGGAUUGUGAAAAACACCACAAGAGAAAUCAUUCUAGUGGUUGUUACCCUUUUUUUUCCUCACCAUAAAGCUGCCUUGUUUCCUUCACAGGAAACUUUAAUGAAUACAAGCAAAAGCUGUUUUUUAUUCUCUCCUUUUCCUACUGUAGUAUGUCCCAUUCUUUAAAUUUGCUUCUUCAUUUCUGUUCCUCAUGUUUUCUCAAGCAGUGCUAUCAGGGAACUUCCUUGCACCUCUUUAAAAAUGUUCCUGGUGACCAACCGGUUCUGUGAACUGUUUUAGCCAUAAAGAACACACCCCAUAUGUGUUUGUUCUGAUUUAUCUUCCUCUGUACUGCUCUACUUUUGUACUUCGUACUUUAAACUGGGGCAGGGAAUAUUUGUUGUAUAAAUAUAUAAAUAAUGUCAUGAAGACCAAAGUUGGCAUGUAGAGGUUUUUCUCCACCAACCCCCCCCCCCCCCCUUUUUUUUUUAAUUUUAAUUGUUGCAUUGUAUAUAUCAAAAUAUGUGGCUGUAGAAGUUAUUUCUAUUCUUAGGGAUAACACAAAGGAUAAUCAAAUAUCCUAUGCUGGGGAAAUAGACAUGUUUUUAAAUUGCAUUUUUCAUACAUUUUUUUUCCUUUCUCUAACAGAACCAAAACAUGUUUUAUGGAACUGAUCAACAUACUAUAUUACAUGAAGUAGUUUUACUGUUCUGUUUUUCAUAGUUAAUAAGCAUGAAGCAUGAAUAUCCUGGUUUACAGAAAUUAUUGUAACUAGUUAGAAAUGACCUAUGGAAAUCAGCUAUGUUGUUGGCUCGAGGUUAGACAGUUAAUGAAUAUUCCAAUUAAAAGAUAAACGAGGAUAUGUAAUUCUUAAAUUGUCCUUAAUUUAAUGUGCAUGGUUGUGCUUUUACUCAGCUUAAUCAUUUUAAAUGUGCUUAUUUUAGUCACCUGCAUGAGUUGAUGCAUUUAUUCAACUUCCAAUUACGAAGGAGAACUUCAUGGAGAAUUAACCUAUAUAAUCAUGUUUAAGUUAUAUAUGAGGUAAACCUUCCUCCUACUCUGCAGUUAUAAAAUUGUUUGUACAUCAGUCUGUAAGUGAAGAUAUUUACUUAGGCACUAAAUUAUACUCUAGAUUUGCGGACCCUAAGUGCCUUCAUUUUUUGAGGUAAAUUUGUAGGUGAAUAAUCACUGACAAAUGAGUUUCUCACACAGACUUCAUUGUUUUUGGUCAUGACUAACUACCUGUGCAUGCACAUUUGACAAGUGGAUGGCUGCCUACAGUAAAUUAUAGCCUAUAUUAAUCUAAGACAUAUGCAUGGAACUUGUGAUGUCACACUCUUGUCAGUUCACAGUGUGAAACAUCCUACUUUUUAAUUUGUCAGAAUAUUUCAGAAGUGAAAGAUGGAGAACCAUGUGUGGUUAAAUCCUAAGGAAGAUCUAAAGGAAUGAGAAAGGAAAAUGAACAAUGUUUCUCUUAUUGUGGAAACCUUAAUGUGUGAUUCCAAGAAUAAACAAUAACCUUGGAUAGAUACAAAAGAGAGGCAUUCAAAUUCAGUGACUCAGAUACCUUUAUCCACAGAAUUUUGUAAAAAACCAAGCUUUUCAUUUUCAUAUCCUGAGCUCUCCUGUCCAGCUGACACAUUCCAAAUGACUAUUCGGUUUCAAGUUCCAUGCUGCACUCUACCAAAUUUUUUUUUCUGAGCAGAUCAAGGCUACAACACUUUGUAAGCAUUUUCAUAAGAAUGACAACAUCCAAUCAGAACAUUAUAUAUGGUAGAACACAAGCUGACCACAAUGUUGUUAACCUUGAAAGUUGGCCUUUCCUAUAGAGCUUAGGUCUCUUAACUGUAGCCUAAAUUAAAAAAAAAAAAAAACAAAUUCAACUGAGAAAUAGAUUUUACCUGGUGAAAGGAAUGAGACUUCUUUGUAGAGUUAGCCAAAUAACAUCAAAGAACUAGUUACAGUCUGAAAAUAAAUUUUACUCUUGUUGAAUGUACUCUGUUUUAGCAAGUGCUCUUAAGUGAUGUGCUUCAAUUAGUCACAAUGUUGAAAUGGCCUAUGUUAAAAACUCAGGUUGUAUACUUGCUUCAGUGGUGAAGAAAACAUGGAGCUUGGAUGAAAAAGUUUUCCUAUAGUAUCACAGUUAUCCUGUAGUAUAUAUUAGACUUAUUCCCUAAUACAGGUCAGCUGAAUCUCUCAGGUAGCUAAAAUGUUCUAAAGCAUUCAUAUAAACAGACCGGUCUCAUGUAGGUGGAGCUCUAUUGCCUUAGGUGCCAUAUUAUUACACCUACAUGGGAUUUCAUUGGGCUUUGAAAGGAGAAUGUUGUCUGCUAUAACUCCACACGGUGCCAUACAUCUUGGAUAGAUGACGUAAAGAAGCCACUGCACAUACAUUUAAUUGUCUAUACAUAUGCAAUUAGGUGGUAAUAUUUUGGACAGCUGUGCUUACCAGUCUAAUAAUCCACGUUCUGUCACAUGGCAUAACUCUCCAUGGUUUGUGCAGAUUAAGUGCAUUUCGGUGUCAAUUACUGAAGCAUGAGUAUGUGAGAAGAGAUAAUGCUUACCAAGUUAAUUUGUAUAGUGCUCUCCCAGUCCUUCUCAUUGUUCACUCCAGCAUUAUUAACCACAAUAUCCAGCCUUCCAAAAUGCUCAAUUACUUUUUUGAAAGCACCUAUAGUAAAAUCCAAAGGUGACAUUUCUUAGCACUUUUCAUUCAGUUAUACAAUGCCCGAUAACAUGAGCAAAUGAAAGUUCUUAUCACUCAUACAUUUUGCAUUAGGUUGGAUAUAUAGCACCUAAUUAUAUAAACAUUUAUAGCUUGAUCCUGUAUGACUUUGAUGUAAUAAAUUCCAGAACUGUCCCCAUAAAUUUUAAGUGUAAAAUAAAGGCUUUAUUUGUUCAGAA